rnacentral:rRNA from 1 species
GACGAACGCUGGCGGCGUGCUUAACACAUGCAAGUCGAACGAAGAGCGAUGGAAGCUUGCUUCUAUCAAUCUUAGUGGCGAACGGGUGAGUAACGCGUAAUCAACCUGCCCUUCAGAGGGGGACAACAGUUGGAAACGACUGCUAAUACCGCAUACGAUCUAAUCUCGGCAUCGAGGAUAGAUGAAAGGUGGCCUCUACAUGUAAGCUAUCACUGAAGGGGGGGAUUGCGUCUGAUUAGCUAGUUGGAGGGGUAACGGCCCACCAAGGCGAUGAUCAGUAGCCGGUCUGAGAGGAUGAACGGCCACAUUGGGACUGAGACACGGCCCAGACUCCUACGGGAGGCAGCAGUGGGGAAUCUUCCGCAAUGGACGAAAGUCUGACGGAGCAACGCCGCGUGAGUGAUGACGGCCUUCGGGUUGUAAAGCUCUGUUAAUCGGGACGAAAGGCCUUCUUGCGAACAGUUAGAAGGAUUGACGGUACCGGAAUAGAAAGCCACGGCUAACUACGUG